GGAAUUGUCUGUCGAGCGCCGAGACAGGAUCGUGUCGAAGUAUCGAAACCGUUUCUGCGACAUUGAAGAUCCCCACUGCAAGAACACAGUGGCAUCUGUCAUUCUUAAAUGGAAGAAGUUUCGAACCACCAAGAACCUUCCUAGAGCUAUCUGCCAACCUGGCCAAACUGAGCAAUCGGGGGAGAGGGGCCUUGGUUGUAAUUGAGGCUGUAAUCGCUGCCAACGGAGCGUCAACGUACUGAGUACUUAAUGAUCAGUGCGGUGACGCGCUAAUUCAAUUUGGCGUUCAGCGUGCACUCAGUGCGUGGGACGUAACCAGUUAGUAGGAAGCGGGAUCUCUAGCGAGUUGGGCCUGUGCAAGAUCUGCGGCGGAGGAGAUAGCACUGCAGCGUGGUCGAGUCUGUAGCUGACACCCGGGAAAAAAAAAGUUACUUUGAGUGCGAAAGAGCCACCGAAAAAAAUGUCUGGAGACGACGAGCCACAAGAGCAGACCAUCGCGGAUGACUUGGUCGUUACCAAGUACAAGAUGGGGGCCGAGAUUGCCAACCAGGCCCUGAAGGCUGUGGUGGAGGCUGCCAGGGCUGGGGUGACUGUGGUCAGCCUCUGUGAGACCGGAGAUGCUUUCAUCAUGGCAGAAACUGGAAAGGUCUUCAGGAAGGAGAAGGAUUUGAAGAAAGGCAUUGCGUUCCCAACCAGUGUAUCAGUCAACAACUGCGUGUGCCACUUUCUCCCCUGAAGAGUGACCCUGAGAUCACACUGAAGGACGGGGACCUCCUCAAAAUUGACCUGGGGGUGCACGUCGAUGGCUUCAUCUCAAACCUGGCUCACAGCUUUGUGGUGGGAGUGACCAAGGAUGCUCCGUUGACAGGACGUAAGGCUGACGUUAUUAAAGCGGCACACCUGUGUGCUGAGGCUGCCCUCAGACUGGUCAAGCCUGGAAACCAGAACUCACAGGUCACAGAAGCCUGGAACAAGAUUGCCAAGUCAUUCAAAUGCUCAGCCAUAGAGGGGAUGCUGUCCCAUCAGUUGAAGCAGCAUGUUAUUGACGGAGAGAAGACCAUCAUUCAGAACCCCACGGACCUGCAGAGGAAGGACCACGAGAAGGCAGAGUUUGAGGUACACGAGGUGUACGCUGUGGAUGUGCUCAUCAGCACUGGAGAAGGCAAGGCGAAGGAUGCAGGCCAGAGGACCACCAUUUACAAGAGGGACCCAGACAAGCAGUACGGCCUGAAGAUGAAGACAUCCAGGAGUUUCUUCAGCGAGGUGGAGAGACGCUUCGAUGCCAUGCCUUUCACUCUCAGGGCAUUUGAGGAUGAGGCCAAGGCAAGGCUGGGUGUGGUAGAGUGUGCCAAACAUGAACUCCUGCAGCCCUUCAACGUUCUGCACGAGAAAGAAGGUGAGUUUGUGGCCCAGUUCAAGUUCACUGUUCUGCUGAUGGCCAAUGGACCCCUACGCAUCACCACAGGGCUGUAUGAGCAGGAGCUGUACAAGUCUGAACACGAAGUAGAGGACACAGAUCUCAAGGCCUUGCUCCAAAGCUCAGCGAGCCGCAAGACUCAGAAGAAGAAGAAAAAGAAGGCUUCAAAGACUGUGGAAACUGAAACAGCGCCAGAGGUCAAAGAGACCGACGCUGCCGAAUAAGACCUUCCACCUCCUGACCCAGUCUUCGUCUCCCAAUAAUACUGACAGACUUUUGACAACUGACCAACCCACAGAACGGAUGUCAAGACCUUCCAUCAUGCCCUCCUGUCCUGAGACGCCUGCCUCACGGUGCAGCCUAGCCUUGUGAUGGAACCUCCAAAUGUUAACUGAUGUCAAACUACUGGGGAUGGUGCUGCUCUCUGCUAAAUUCAAAUUCUGUCACAUCCAUUUCAAUCUCACUGUCCUUGAGACAGCAGGGUUCUCCCCAUGAUAGUAACCACUAAGUGACUCAGAAGGGCUAUUGAGUAGAACAAGGGCAUUUUCCUGAGUAGACUCUGUGGGAGACACGUUUAUACCAUCCAGUCGUUGAGCCUUGGUACUGUAUUAAAGUCAGCAGUGAAUAAUCAAAUGAUUUAUGAAAGCAAAGCAGGACAGUUGAGGGUGUGAUACGAUUGCACUGUGCCAAUGAUUUUUCUGAAGGUAAACCUUUUCGGUCCUAACCAUGCAGUUUCUUUUAAAUUAAUGGAAGUUUGUCUAUUUGGGAAGUAAAUAUGUAUUAACUUGAACCCUCCAUUAAACCUACUAUAAACAUGACAGACCUUAUAAACAGCCAUGCUAGCAAUUGAUGGCUGACUACGUUGACUCAAAUCGUUACGUACAUUAGCAAAAAUCUCUAGGGUCAUACGUAGCUAUUUCUCUUAUCAACUGCAACUGACAGUUUUACAUGGAUAUAUCCCCUAACAGGACUACAUAUUAAAUGGAUUUAGAACAGGGAACUGGAUUAGGGGCUUAAUCUGUACGCACCAUGCAAGGAAGGAGGAAAAAACAAGUUACUGAAGCCCAAUUAUGAAAGGUUUAAAUGUUCCCAUUAUUAAAUCAUUUAGGUAUAUGACUGCCAUAUUUUGCUUAAUACACUGAUACUGCCAUGGCUCUCAAUGAAUUACACCUAUAUUGGUCACUGUUUACAUCGGUUUCCAUAGCUGUUUAUCUGAUACUUUAUUGUAAAAUAAGUUUGAGGAUAUUUUUGAAUCAUCUAGAUUAGAAACAUUGCCAUGGUGACAUCAAAUAACUAUCGAAUUUGGGUAUGAGACAACUGACCAAAGGACUAACUAACCAACUGCUGCACCACUAGUUCCUGUGGGCUUUUCUUUUUGAAUAGGAUAUUAGAGGGAGAGAUCAUUGUGGAAAUGUUUCUGACUCGGUUUAUAUUUUAAGUUUGUUCUCGUGAAGGAAAUGUAUCCGCUCUUGUAUUGUAAAUCUGUAUGGAUAGAAUUCUACAAAAGUUCCUAUUUAGGAAAUAAGAGGUCCUCCCAAUAAAAUGUGGUAUUUUGGAA